CUGCAUUGAUGUCUGGAACUAGUAGUUAUAGUCUGUAACGAUGAAGUCAAGCAGGUCAAUCAGUAGUUGAUAUCACAUGCCAGAUGGCUGAACCUUAGGUUUCAUUUUGCACAACAUUUGAUUCUCCCACUGAAGGAGAGUAAGUAGUUGAUUUAACUAAUUAAGUUAACAAAAAUUAAUUAGCCUAUCACAACUAGACUUGAUAACUACUAUACAGAGUACAAACAUUGAUUUCAAAGCGGAGGAGGCAUGUAUGUAUGUAUAUGUAUGUCCCUUUGGCAUGUAAAAGAAAAGAAAAGAAAAGAAC
rnacentral:sRNA from 1 species